GUGGGAGGGGGCUUGCCCCCGAUGGCGGAGUGUCAGUUGGCGAUGUAAGUGACUGACCCGCCACCAUCGGGGGCAAGCCCCCUCCCAC
rnacentral:misc_RNA from 1 species